CCUACGGGCGGCAGCAGUGGGGAAUAUUGGACAAUGGGGGCAACCCUGAUCCAGCCAUGCCGCGUGUGUGAAGAAGGCCCUCGGGUUGUAAAGCACUUUCAGUGAGGAAGAACGCCUGGUGGUUAAUACCCAUCAGGAAAGACAUCACUCACAGAAGAAGCACCGGCUAACUCCGUGCCAGCAGCCGCGGUAAUACGGAGGGUGCGAGCGUUAAUCGGAAUUACUGGGCGUAAAGCGCGCGUAGGUGACUUGAUAAGCCGGUUGUGAAAGCCCCGGGCUCAACCUGGGAACGGCAUCCGGAACUGUCAAGCUAGAGUGCAGGAGAGGAAGGUAGAAUUCCCGGUGUAGCGGUGAAAUGCGUAGAGAUCGGGAGGAAUACCAGUGGCGAAGGCGGCCUUCUGGACUGACACUGACACUGAGGUGCGAAAGCGUGGGUAGCAAACAGGAUUAGAUACCCGUGUAGUC
rnacentral:rRNA from 1 species